CAGUCGCCGCGGGAAAACGUAGGGUGCAAGCGUUAAUCGGAUUUACUGGGCGUAAAGGGCGCGUAGGUGGUCAUGUAAGUGAGGUGUGAAAUCCCCGGGCUCAACCUGGGAACUGCAUCUUAUACUGCGUAGCUGGAGUGCAGUAGAGGGUAGUGGAAUUUCCGGUGUAGCGGUGAAAUGCGUAGAUAUCGGAAGGAACACCAGUGGCGAAGGCGGCUACCUGGACUGACACUGACACUGAGGCGCGAAAGCGUGGGGAGCAAACAGGAUUAGAUACCCGCGUAGUCCCUGUCUCUUAUAC
rnacentral:rRNA from 1 species